CUAAUGUUGGUAAACCUUUGUUCUGAAGUUAGUUGUUCACUUCAAAAGAAUCGGAGCAAAGAUGGACUCCUAAGAAAUUUUUAUACACACCAGUCAUUCGACUUUGGAUUUUCUUCAUUAAAUUUUCUUGAAACGUUCGAGAUUAUUCUUAUAUGACCAAGUCUGCCGUGUGAACGAUGAUUGUACAGGAGCCAGUGCAGGCGGCCAUAUGGCAUUGUUUAAAUCAUUAUGCUUAUCCAGAUGCAAUAUUUUUAGCAGAAAGGUUGUGUGCAGAAGUUGACUCAGAGGAAACUUUAUUUCUUUUGGCAACAUGUUAUUAUAGAUCAGGGCGAGUUAGACAAGCUUAUGCACUACUUUCCAAAAAAGCUCCAAAUUCUGCACAAUGCAGAUUUCUUUUAGCCAAAUGUUGUUAUGAUUUAGAGAAAUAUGCAGAAGCAGAAGCUGUGAUAAUUGGGGGAUAUUAUAAACAGCUAAAAAACCUGGAAGAAAUAGCAACUCAAUUUGGAGAACAUGCUUGCUUCUCGCUUCAGAUUAUAGCAAAGAUUUAUUAUAAGAUGAUGCGUACAGCAAAGGGAAAUGAUGCGCAUAAAUUGGCUUUGAAGCUAAAUCCAUUUCUUUGGCAUUCAUUUGAAGAAUUAUGUAAUGUUGGUGAAGUAGUAGAUCCUACAAAAAUUUUUCAGUUAGAUAAAUUAGAUAAUUUUGCAAUGUGCCAUGGUAGUACACCUACUCCCAUUUAUGCAACUGAAUCUGAUCUCAUUGUACCUACAAAUAAUUCAAAUGGUACACCUACAAAUGGCACUACUGUUACUCCUGCACAAAUCACAAUGACAUCAACUAUAAUUAAUGGGGUUGGACCUGGUAUACGAUUAUAUUCUCCAGUAGAUGAAAGUCCACAAAGUUUACCCACACAUUAUAAUAAUUGUCCUUCAAUAUCACCAAGAGCUAAACUUCCACGGUAUCGUAGUAUGUUCAAUAAUACAAUGAGCCCCCUUACUCCAAGUUUUGGUAUUCUACCAUUGGAAAGCAAUACACCUGAACCAACAGUUUUACCUUCACAUACUACUCUUACAGAAGCUAAUGAUCAGAAAAGUCUAGCAAAACGUGUUAGCAGUUUAAGGGCUCAUGUAGGGCAAUUAAUGUCAAGGAAGGAAACUCCUUUACAGCAAGGGAAACCAGUAUUUUCUCAAUCUGGAAAUACGAGUAAUAACGCUAAUAUUGUAACAGCUACACCUACUACUCCAACACCAGCUCCACCAACACUGCAAGGUACCAAUGUUAGACGUUCCUCAAGGCUCUUCAGUCACAGCUAUUCAGUGAAGGAAAAUAAUAAAUCUCCAAAUAGAAAUAAAUUUGCUACUCCAAAGUCUCCGUCUCGCAAAACAAAAGCUAGACUUUCAAAAACUAACUUAAAUAAAGCUAACUUUAAUGAAUUAAACGAGAGAAAUCGAAAUGAAAAAGAAAAAACUGAAACGAUUACAUCAGAAAAAGCUGUAGCUAGUGUAAAUGCAUUAAACAAUCAAGGUAGUACUAAUGUCUGUGCAGUAACACUCCAGAAACAAUGUGCUGAGGGUUUAAUGUCAUUGCUACAAGAAUUAGGAGAGGCAUAUCAACAUUUAAGUCAAUUUAAUUGUACCCAAGCUGUUGAAAUAUUAAGUGUUCUUCCAGCACGACAUUAUAAUACAGGAUGGGUAUUAUCUAUGUUAGCUCGUGCACAUUUUGAAAUGGUAGAUUAUAAGAAAGCUGCUAGUUAUUUUGCUGAAGUGAGGCAGUUGGAACCUCAAAGGACUGAACUUAUGGAAAUUUAUAGUACAGUUUUGUGGCAUUUGCAUGCUGAAGUGCAACUGUCUACUCUAGCACAAGAACUUGUUUCCGAAGAUCGUAAUUCUCCAGCAGCUUGGUGUGCUACAGGAAAUCUGUUUUCUGCACAAACUGAGCAUGAAACGGCAAUUAAAUUCUUUCAAAGAGCUAUUCAAGUAGAUCCCAAUUUCCCAUAUGCCUACACACUGCUUGGUCAUGAGUAUGUUCUUACAGAAGAAUUGGAUAAGGCAAUUACUGCAUUUCGUAACGCUAUCAGACUUGAUCCUAGGCAUUAUAAUGCAUGGUUUGGAUUAGGGACAAUAUUCUCUAAACAGGAACAAUAUAGUCUAGCAGAAUUGCAUUUUCAACGUGCUUUACAAAUUAGUCCACAGAAUUCGGCAAUAAUGUGUCACAUUGGUGUUGUGCAACAUGCACUGAAGAAAACUGAUGAAGCUUUAAAGACUCUGAAUACUGCAAUCGCAAAUGAUCCUGAUAAUAUGUUAUGCAAAUUUCAUCGUGCAAGUAUCAACUUCUCAAUUGGUCGGCAUGCGGAAGCACUUAGGGAAUUUGAGGAAUUAAAAAAUAUUGUACCCAAAGAAUCUCUAGUCUAUUAUUCAAUAGGGAAAGUACAUAAAAAAUUGGGUAAUACCGAUCUUGCACUAAUGUACUUUAGUUGGGCGACAGACUUAGAUCCAAAGGGUGUUAAUAGUCAAAUGAAAGAAGCUAUAUUAGGCCCAGGUCAAGGAGACGAAGAAUCUCCAGCGACUCAAUCAGACGAACAGCAGAUGCAGAGUAAUUCGAUGGAACAAGAGAUUGAUACUAGUAGAGAAGCAAGUGCCGCGAGGCUCGCCGCAAAUGUCUCAGUUGAAGCUCAUGCCGAUGAUAGCGAUGAUAGUUUAUGAAGAUAUCCUAUUGUGUGCAAGAUUGCUAUAAAAUGAAGCAUUAUUGCGCGUCACCAUUUACUUUUGUAUUGAUCGAUACGAUCAAUUUUUUAACUAAUUUAGCUCAUUGUGGAUCCAUACUUUCGCGUGCACUCGUCAAUUUCGUCUGAGCAGUGCUAUUAUUAUCUUUAAUAUUUAUAUCGUUUCCGUAGACUUUUAAUAGUGCUACGUCUUUUUGAGAAGCUAAAAAGUAAGCUAAAAGCCAUUCUCUGGGUCGUUUAUUUUUUAUUACAUUUGUCGGAAAGGAAAGAAAGUACUUUUGGAUGAUCGAUAGUUUUUGAGAGAAAGUGUGUGUGUGUGUGUGUGCGCGCGCGCACGUACGCGCGCGCGCACUUGUGAGUGACUGAGUGUGUGAAUGAGAGAGAAAGAGAGAAAAGAGGAAAGCACGAGAGAGAGGGGAGCGAGGGAGGGAGAGAGAGAGAGAGAGAGAGGUUCAGCAAUAUCUAUUUCAUCGAUCUUGUACAUUACGCGUUUCACUGUAUAUUUUUUACGAUUGCUUGUCUUACUUUUAUAUAUAUAUAUGUUCGAGUGUUUAAUGAUUUUCAUUAAGGAUUGAGUACAGACUGUAUUGCGUUGAAGUAUGAGCGAGUGUAAACGUAAGCAUGUCUGAUCAUGAAAACAAACAAACAACAAAAAGAAUAUUUUUGGCCAUGUUAGUGGUCAUUGGACGAUCGUGCAAUUCUCGUCGUGAAGUAAUCACCGUUGGAUUGAUCUUGGAAUUGGUUUCAUCAUGGAUAGAUUGUUUUAUGCGCGAUGUAAUGCACUGUUGUGCAAUGGGUAAUAAUAAUUCUAGACAAAAAGACAGAACACGCAUGCUAUCUUUAGUUUCUCAUAUUAUAAUUAUGGUACUGUGAAAACUUUGAAUGUUAUAUGAAGAUUACCUUCCACUAUCUAUCUAAUCUAAACAUUAUUUAGAUUGACAUUACAUCAAUGAGUUCUCUUGGUAUAAAUACGAAAAUGGACACAGACAAAGUGAUAGCACACUUGAAAAAUAUAAACUUAUAUUUCAUAUUACAUAAGUUAUAAAUACAAAAGUAUAUAAAUAACGUGGUUAUAGAUGUUUUUAAUGAUGUGCAGAGCCUCCAUGGUUCUUAAUUACUUCAGUCAUCCUGAUUGAUAAGGAUUUAUACAGGACUUUAAUUGUGCAUUGGGAAAUAUUUUCCAAUUCUCUUUUAUUGCAGGAUUUUGAAUCGUGCAAAUCUUCGAAUUGUCUACCUUCUGUGUAGGUAGCUGGUGAUAGCAAUCUGAAGAACGGAAAUUUUCUUUUUUGAAAAAUAUUCUUGAAUAACUUUUGCCGUAAGCACAGCAGCAUUAUCUUGCUGGAACAUAUAUUCUGGAUUAGCAAUUUAUUCUGCAUACUUGUCAAUGUGACUUUUUAUUAAUUGCAGGCAAAUCGUACAAUUCAUUUUUCCUUCUACAAAACUGAUUUCCUUUUAACCCAAUUUUUCUUAAUGAUUCUUUUCGAAUAUCUCGAUAAUAAUAUCGAUAAAGAUAACUUUUCUUCAGUGUAUAUGUUUCUUCGCAGAUGCCAGUCGUCCUUCCUUAUGUUUCGUUGUUAAUCGCCUGUAUUUUUGUCCGAUCUGUAAUUGUUCGUGGCACACGACAAACGUUUUGAUCGUUAGUUUUCAUCCUAGCUUCGAGGACGAUUUCUCUUGAAGUAGUACAAUAGUUUGUGAUGCAGUACGGAGUAUUGUUCUUGUCUCGCGUUAAGAUAGUGCUGCUAGUCUUCCAUUAGCAUAGGUAUCUUUUUACCAUAGGCAUUUUACAUAUUUUAAUAAAUUAUAAAUGACUUCAAUUGAUUUCCAUCGUUAUAUCUGUAAUCGUUGAUCUCCGCCUUUUUAAAGCGAGACUCGUGUUUAUUUCAUUGUUACUCAACCUUUUACCACAGCCCAUCGUGAAAAUAUCGAUUUUACAAAGAACGCUUUAAUUGCCUGAAAUCUCGCGAGAUACUGAACAGAAUGUAAAUAUACUUCAAGCACGCUACCAUUUUGUCAGGUCUCCAUUUUAUAUUUCUACCAUUAUACAUAUCGCCGAUCUAAGUUAUGUUUACGUAUUCGUUGAAGAUAGUCUUCCAACAACGUUCAAAGUUUUUGCGAUACGAUAAUCUUAAUACGAGAUAUUAGAGAUGGCACGCGUGUACUAUCUCUUAGUCUAAGAGCGUAGGUCUAAACGAUUCUGAGGACCAUAAGCGAGUCGGAAGUCUUUUUUCCCUACUCGCGAGUGUUCAUCGAAAUAUCCUGAAAGUCUAUGUCAUAUAUUUACCAAUGACGGACUCAGUUAUUGUUCUGAAUGAAGUAUACGUUGUACGAUCACGAACUUUUUGCUGUACAGUAGUUAACGAUCACUUUUAAUUCUGGUGUGCCUUAAACAUAUCCAACUUGUUUCUUCCUUGUGUCACACAAACUUCAUAUUAUCUCGAUUAACUGUUAUAUUGAUUCUUAUAGUUCGAUGAGCGUUGGAAACACGUGUUUCUAGCGAUCACUUUGUUCGGAAUAAGUUGGGUGAUCUAAUACGUAAACACAUGUCAUAGACUUUUCGGUGGUGUUCAACUGUCGGAAUAUUAUUUAAUUGUAUGCGACAAGAAUCCCUUUAUCACGAUAUGAUACGCUGCACGACAGUAUCUGGUGUUCAUGUUCAUAAGAAAAUAUAUGUGCCGUAUAUUAGGCGCGUUAACGAUGCGUUAUUGUGUUACCAGAUUCUACGUAAAGGUAUGCAUUCUAAUGACGACAAUGAUUUCUGAUAUGUGCUGCAUGAAAAAUUGCACGAGAAGGUCGUAGCAUUUUAUAUUGUAUACAUUCGAAGGAAAGAGAGAUAACGAAAAAGGAUAGACGAAUUGCCGACUGAAAUCUGUAUAUAUAUAAUAUAUAAGCAUAGAUAUAUGUGA